AGUUCCCAGGAGCUCCGAGUUCUCGCCGCGGCGGCCGCGGCUGGGGAAAGCUAAGGGGGCGGGAGGCCUGGCGCGCUGGCCCCGCCCCUCACAAGCUGCCGCGCGCGGGUGGGAUGACCCCACCCAUUGUCAAAAGAAGGGGAAGCAGAAAGAGCGGGAUCUGGCGUGGGAGUGGAACAUUCCGCUCCUAGAAACGGUGGGGAAGCAAAAGCCUCUGCAGCUCCAGGGCUGGAAAAAUCUUCGAUGUCAGGACGCUGGGUCAGGGUCUCCAGGAAGACAAGGAGAGCUCAAAUCAGGGAGAGGGAACCCAUCCUCCCAAUGAAACUACCACACAAGUUACGGGCAUAGAAAUCAAGGGAAUCACUUUAAAUCCUGCUGGAUGAAACUGCCACUCACCGCUAGAAAUCGGGGAUCGACAGCGAACUCUGGAUGACCCUGUAACCACAUCUCCAGUUCAGCCCGGCGAGGGGCAUCCUCACCCACCAGCAAAGUACCAUCCACCUUAUUGAUGACAGGGAUCCGAGUCUCCAGGUCCACAUCAAGGUGAUUAGGCUCUUCCAUGCACUCCACCUCCAGCUGCAAACCCAGAAUCCACCCCCAUGAGCACAUACUCUUCUUUGGGGCAGGAAGGGAGGGGGAGUAGAGCCAAUGGUAGCCAUAAAACAACUCUAACAUCUUCUAGUCCCUCAAUCCCAAGUGCCUUCACCAUUACUGAGAAUAAAAAGCUCUUAUCUAA